UUAUGUACAUGCCUACAACAUAGAGUUAAUGCACCAGAUCCCAUUAGAACUUUGCAGUUAAGUGUGGUCAGGCUAUAUUAGUACUAGGAUGGGUGACCACUCGAGAAUUCCUAGUGUUUUACAUGCC
rfam:Picea glauca, whole genome shotgun sequence.